rnacentral:rRNA from 1 species
GAUGAACGCUGGCGGCGUGCCUAAUACAUGCAAGUCGAGCGAACAGACGAGGAGCUUGCUCCUCUGACGUUAGCGGCGGACGGGUGAGUAACACGUGGAUAACCUACCUAUAAGACUGGGAUAACUUCGGGAAACCGGAGCUAAUACCGGAUAAUAUAUUGAACCGCAUGGUUCAAUAGUGAAAGACGGUUUUGCUGUCACUUAUAGAUGGAUCCGCGCCGCAUUAGCUAGUUGGUAAGGUAGCGGCUUACCAAGGCAACGAUGCGUAGCCGACCUGAGAGGGUGAUCGGCCACACUGGAACUGAGACACGGUCCAGACUCCUACGGGAGGCAGCAGUAGGGAAUCUUCCGCAAUGGGCGAAAGCCUGACGGAGCAACGCCGCGUGAGUGACGAAGGUCUUCGGAUCGUAAAACUCUGUUAUUAGGGAAGAACAAAUGUGUAAGUAACUAUGCACGUCUUGACGGUACCUAAUCAGAAAGCCACGGCUAACUACGUG